UGCAAGUCGUACGAGAGUUUUUAACUCAAGUGGCGGACGGGUGAGUAACACGUAAGAAUUUGCCUUUAGGAGGGGGAUAACAACUGGAAACGGUUGCUAAUACCCCAUAUGCUUUCGAGUGAAAUGGAUUUUUCCGCCUAGAGAGAAGCUUGCGGCUGAUUAGCUUGUUGGUGAGGUAAAGGCUUACCAAGGCGACGAUCAGUAGUUGGUCUUAGAGGAUGAUCAGCCACAUUGGGACUGAGACACGGCCCAAACUUUUACGGGAGGCAGCAGUAAGGAAUUUUCCGCAAUGGGCGCAAGCCUGACGGAGCAAUACCGCGUGAAGGAUGACGGCCCAUGGGUUGUAAACUUCUUUUCUUGGAGAAGAAUUCUGACGGUAUCCAAGGAAUAAGCAUCGGCUAACUCCGUGCCAGCAGCCGCGGUAAGACGGGGGAUGCAAGCGUUAUUCGGAAUUAUUGGGCGUAAAGCGUCUGUAGGUGGUAAGGAAAGUGUAAUGUUAAAGAUCAGGGCUCAACCCUGGGAAAGCAUUGCAAACUAUCUUACUUGAGUUCGGUAGGGGCAGAGAGAAUUCCCAGUGUAGCGGUGAAAUGCGUAGAUAUUGGGAGGAAGACCGGUGGCGAAGGCGUUCUGCUGGGCCGUAACUGACACUCAGAGACGAAAGCUAAGGUAGCAAAUAGGAUUAGAUACCCUAGUAGUCUUAGCUGUAAACGAUGCACACUAUGUUUUGCAAUUUGCAGAGCAAUAGCUAACGCGUUAAGUGUGCCGCCUGGGGAGUACAUUCGCAAGGAUGAAACUCAAAGGAAUUGACGGGGACCCGCACAAGCGGUGGAGCAUGUGGUUUAAUUCGAUGCAACGCGAGAAUCUUUACCAAGAAUUGACAUGCUGCGAACGUUUACGAAAGUAAAAAGUCUAUUAACUUAGUUAUAGCGCAGACACAGGUGGUGCAUGGUGUCGUCAGCUCGUGCCGUGAGUGUAGGUAGUCUGCACGAGCGCACCCUGUCUUAGUAUAUCUAGAGAGACUGCUGGUGAUAAUCGGAGAGGUGAGAUGACGUCAUCAGCAUGCCCUUACAUCUUGGGCGAACUCACGUGCUACAAUGGGUCGGACAAAGAGAAUGCCUCACUCUCUGCGGAAGGGCAUAGCUAC
rnacentral:rRNA from 1 species